rnacentral:misc_RNA from 1 species
GGCAAUUGCGAACACUGUGCUGCAAGAUCUUAACUGAGACUUGGUUGGUUGGGUUUCUAGAGAUCACCUUUAGAACUGCAAAAUAUCAAGCAUUGUCAUUAUUUUUAUUAAUUUCUUAAAGCUCAAUGUCUCUUCGAAAACCACCACUUCCUCGAAUCCUCCUGGAUAAUGUCUCAUGCAUGAGAAAUGCCCAACAAAUCUUGCGACAUGUAAAUGUCUCCAUUCAUGAUGGAGGGG